rnacentral:rRNA from 1 species
UACGUAGGGUGCGAGCGUUAAUCGGAAUUACUGGGCGUAAAGCGUGCGCAGGCGGUGAUGUAAGACAGUUGUGAAAUCCCCGGGCUCAACCUGGGAAUUGCAUCUGUGACUGCAUCGCUAGAGUACGGUAGAGGGGGAUGGAAUUCCGCGUGUAGCAGUGAAAUGCGUAGAUAUGCGGAGGAACACCGAUGGCGAAGGCAAUCCCCUGGACCUGUACUGACGCUCAUGCACGAAAGCGUGGGAGCAAACAGG